UACGUAGGGGGCAAGCGUUGUCCGGAUUUAUUGGGCGUAAAGAGCUCGUAGGUGGUUCGGUAAGUCGGAUGUGAAAUCUCCAGGCUCAACCUGGAGGGGUCAUUCGAUACUGCCGUGACUAGAGUUCGGUAGGGGAGUGUGGAAUUCCUGGUGGAGCGGUGAAAUGCGCAGAUAUCAGGAAGAACACCUAUGGCGAAGGCAGCACUCUGGGACGGUACUGACGCUGAGACGCGAAAGCGUGGGGAGCGAACAGG
rnacentral:rRNA from 1 species